rnacentral:rRNA from 1 species
GUUGAUCCUGCGGGAGGUUGCUGCUAUGAGGAUUCGACUUAGACAUGCAAGUCUCUCCGCAAGGAGGGCGAAAUGCUCAGUAACACGUCGGUAAUCUGCCCUAUGGUCAGGGAUAAUCUCGGGAAACUGAGGCUAAUACCUGAUAAGAAAUUGCCCCUGGAAUGGACAUUUUCUGAAACUCGUGCCAUAGGAUGAGCCGGCGGCGGAUUAGGCUGUUGGUGGGGUAAUGGCCUACCAAACCGAAGAUCCGUACGGGCCAUGAGAGUGGUAGCCCGGAGAGGGACACUGAGAAACUGGUCCCAGCCCUACGGGGUGCAGCAGUCGCGAAAACUUUCCAAUGCACGCAAGUGUGAGAAGGGAAUCCUCAGUGCUCAUGCAUUGCAUGGGCUUUUGUCAAGUGUGAAUAGCUUGGCGAAUAAGUGGUGGGUAAGACUGGUGCCAGCCGCCGCGGUAACACCAGCGCCACGAGUGGGAACCACGAUUAUUGGGCCUAAAGCGUCCGUAGCCGGAUUAGUAAAUCUAUUGUGAAAGCGUUGUGCUAAACAUAACGAAUUGCAUGAGACACUGCCAAUCUUGAGACCGGGAGGGGUUAGAGGUAUUCCAGGGGGACUGGUAAAAUGGACUAAUCCCUGGAGGACCACCGAUGGCGAAGGCAUCUAACCAGAACGGAUCUGACGGUGAGGGACGAAAGCUAGGGGAGCGAACCGGAUUAGAUACCCGAGUAGUCCUAGCCGUAAACGCUGCGAGCAAGGUGUUGCGCAUUCUAAGGGAAUGCGCAGUGUCGAAGCGAAGGCAUUAAGCUCGCCGCCUGGGAAGUACGGUCGCGAGACUGAAACUUUAAGGAAUUGGCGGGGGAGCACCACAAGGGGUGCGGCGUGCGGUUUAAUCCAACUCAACGCGGAGAACCUUACUAGAGGCGACGGCAGAAUGAAGGUCAACCUGAAGGGUUUACCUGACGAGCCGAGAGGAGGUGCAUGGCCGCCGUCAGCUCGUGCUGCAAGGUGUCCUCUUAAGUGAGGUAACGAGCGAGACCUGUGCCCACAAUUGCUAACAGCCUUGAUUGGGACUGAGCACAUUGUGGGGACUGCCCUGGAAACGGGGGGGAAGGUGCAGGCUACGGUAGGUCUGUAUGCCCCGAAUCCUCUAGGCUACACGCGCGCAACAAUGGCUGUGACAAUGGGAUGCAACUCCGAGAGGAGAAGCUAAUCCUCGAAACGCAGUCCAAGUUUGGAUUGAGGCUUGCAACUCAGCCUCAUGACACUGGAAUCCCUAGUAAUCAGGUGUUAGCAUCGCCUGGUCAAUGUGUCCCUGCUCCUUGCACACACCGCCCGUCAAACCAACCGAGCAGGGUUUAGGUGAACUUUACUUUUAGGUAUCGUGAAUCUAAGCUCAGUGAGGUGGGUUAAGUCGUCACAAGGUA